GUGCCUGUAGCUUAAUGGUAAAGCUCUCCCCUGUGGCGGGAGCGACGCCGGUCCGAUUCCGGUCAGGCACC
rnacentral:tRNA from 1 species